UACGUAGGGGGCGAGCGUUGUCCGGAUUCAUUGGCGUAAAGAGCUCGUAGGCGGUCUGUCGCGUCUGCUGUGAAAACCCGAGGCUCAACCUCGGGCCUGCAGUGGGUACGGGCAGACGUAGAGGUAGGUAGGGGAGAAUGGAAUUCCCGGUGUAGCGGUGAAGUGCGCAGAUAUCAGGAGGAACACCGAUGGCGAAGGCAGAUCUCCUGGGCCAUUACUGACGCUGAGGAGCGGAAAGCGUGGGGAGCGAACAGG
rnacentral:rRNA from 1 species